rnacentral:tRNA from 1 species
GCGCCCAUAGCUCAAUUGGAUAGAGCACCGGACUUCUAAUCCGACGGUUGUAGGUUCGAGUCCUACUGGGCGCGCCA